UACGAAGGGGCUAGCGUUGCUCGGAAUCACUGGGCGUAAAGGGUGCGUAGGCGGGUCUUUAAGUCAGGGGUGAAUCCUGGAGCUCAACUCCAGAACUGCCUUGAUACUGAAGAUCUUGAGUUCGGGAGAGGUGAGUGGAACUGCGAGUGUAGAGGUGAAAUUCGUAGAUAUUCGCAAGAACACCAGUGGCGAAAGGCGGCUCACUGGCCCGAUACUGACGCUGAGGCACGAAGCGUGGG
rnacentral:rRNA from 1 species